rnacentral:rRNA from 1 species
UACGGGGGGAGCAAGCGUUGUUCGGAUUUACUGGGCGUAAAGGGCGCGUAGGCGGUCAGCACAAGUCAGUUGUGAAAUCUCCGGGCUUAACUCGGAAAGGUCAACUGAUACUGUGCGACUAGAGUGCGGAAGGGGCAACUGGAAUUCUCGGUGUAGCGGUGAAAUGCGUAGAUAUCGAGAGGAACACCUGCGGCGAAGGCGACUUACUGGACACAUAUUGACGCUGAGGUGCGAAAGCGUGGGGAGCAAACAGG